UCAGCUGAGAUUGCUGGAGACCUGGAGUCGACCUCAAGCCCAUCCCAGUAGACUUGAGUGGUGCUGGUGCUCACACAAACUACAGUACCGAGUCGAUGAGAAAAGACGGUGGGUUCGUUCGAAGCCAUCGUGGCUGCCAUCCAGAAGCUCAACCUGAGGCACAACAAGCACAUCACCACAUACGGCGAGGGCAACGAGCGCUGUCUCAUCUCACCGUCAAGCACGAGACCACGGGCAUCCACACUUUCAGCUUGGUUCGGGUGUUGGGCCUGGAGACGGAGCAGAACGGCAAGGGCUACUUCAAGGACCACCGGCGGCCAGCAACAUCGUGACCACCAUCCUGUCGAAGCCCUCAGGCACGGCCCCACCACUCAACUCCUGGUGUGAUCACUUGUUUGCCAGUGGCAAUUGGAGGAUCUGGCGAUUGUAUUCGUGCCGUGGACAAAAUUCUUCCAACAUUCCUUUCCAAGGUCUUUGGUCGCUUCUUUGUCAUUAUCUGGGGAUGGCCGGCCCUGCCCUCAGGGGCUAGAGACAAACACCCAUAGUUAGUUGCUGGUCACAUCAUUAUAGAUUAUUUGUUCACAAUUAAUGAGUGCCCUAGUCUAGACGUUGCAAAGAAAUUACAUUUAAUGUGUUGUACACUGAGAAGUGACACCUGGGCAGCAUUGGAUCCUAAUUUUGUAAUGUACUGAAUUUUGCAAGAGUCUCCGAAAAUUCUUUCCGCUGUAA